GGCUCAGAUUGAACGCUGGCGGCAGGCCUAACACAUGCAAGUCGAAUGGUAACAGGAAACAGCUUGCUGUUUCGCUGACGAGUGGCGGACGGGUGAGUAAUGUCUGGGAAACUGCCUGAUGGAGGGGGAUAACUACUGGAAACGGUAGCUAAUACCGCAUAACGUCGCAAGACCAAAGAGGGGGACCUUCGGGGCCUCUUGCCAUCAGAUGUGCCCAGAUGGGAUUAGCUAGUAGGUGGGGUAACGGCUCACCUAGGCGACGAUCCCUAGCUGGUCUGAGAGGAUGACCAGCCACACUGGAACUGAGACACGGUCCAGACUCCUACGGGAGGCAGCAGUGGGGAAUAUUGCACAAUGGGCGCAAGCCUGAUGCAGCCAUGCCGCGUGUAUGAAGAAGGCCUUCGGGUUGUAAAGUACUUUCAGCGGGGAGGAAGGGAGUAAAGUUAAUACCUUUGCUCAUUGACGUUACCCGCAGAAGAAGCACCGGCUAACUCCGUG
rnacentral:rRNA from 1 species